GCCAAAAGUCCCUCCUCAAAUCAGUUCAUUUGGAAGUAGGGCCCUCUUCUGACCUUAGCACCGCUCCAUAACUCCUGAGAAGGCCUUCCCAGCACGGCACCAUGCUGGGGGUGGCCCAGCUUGAGCAAGGUGCAAUUAGAAGGACCGAGAGGUCUCUCCCAGCCCCUGUGAUUUUUAGGAUGAGAGAUGAUGACCUUUAUUUGCACCAGGGGAAGUUCAGGUUGGAUAUUAGAAAACAUUGCUUCUCAUAAAGAGCAGUGCUGCAGUGGCACAGCUGCCCAGGGAGGUGGUGGGGUCACCGUCCAUGGAGGUGUUCCAGAACCAGGGGAUGUGGCACUGAGGGACACGGGGCUGCAUGGUGGGCUGGGCUGGGGUUGGACCUGGGGAUCUGAGAGGUCUUUUCCAACCUGAAUGAUUCUAUUACUCUACUAGACUCAUCUGUGCCUCUAGGUCUCCCUGUCUCUGGUUUCUGUGCACUCACUUACCAACAUGGAACGUCACUCUGGUGAAGCAAUUUGGUCUCCCAUCGGCUCUGUGUCGACUUUUAGCAGCAGCAGCAUAUCACAGCAAGGCUUCCCACGGUUGCACUUUCCAAACUGAAUUGGGCUUGGGUAGAAAAUGUUAGAAAUCAGUCUUUGAGAAACACAGGCACCUUCCUCCAGCAUCCGAUCACAGGCAUGGUCUCCAUCCUUGGGAGCUGCUGCUGCUCUGGAUGCAGUGAGAAUAAAAGGACACUUUCAUACCUCAGAAAAGAAAGGAGCAGGACCACAAGGUGAAGCAUCCAUAUUUUCCACAUUUCUGGGGCCAAACGGGUGGAAAACAGGACUGCCAGCAAAGGAAAGAGGGAAACUCAACCACCACAGAUGAAGUGUUCAAUGGUGCGCUGGCCAAAUUCAAAAUUAAUCCCCUCAAAAGUUUUAAAAUAGCUCUUCUUGAAGUCUGAAGAUGGAUGGAUUCAUUCCUUCCUUUCACAAAUAGCUUUUUUCUUAUUUUGACCUUAUUCUAAUAGCUCCAAGUAUUUAAUGUCUGGGAUAUUUUCCAGGUUGUUUAAACAGCAGCUUCAGGAGCUGACUUGAUGGUUUCCUGCUGUAGCCUAUGCUUUGUGGUUGGAUGUCAUAGAGUCAUAGAACCACAGAAUCACCAAGGCUGGAAAGGACCUUCAAGAUCAUCCUGUCCAACUGUCCAACUACCAUCAAUAUUGCCCCCACUGAGCCGUGUCCCUUAGUACCACAUCUAAACAUUCCUUGAACACAUAGUCAUAGUCAUAGUCAUGAUCCUGGUCGUAGUCAUAAUGGAUGAAGGUGAUUUCUGGCUGACUUUCACUGUAGACCAGCAGCCUUCCAUGGGACAGUGCUGAUGUGACUGUGCAGAGUCUGGUUUGCUCUUUCUGCACAUAACACCUGCUUUGCUUUUUGAAAAUGGCUCCAGUGUGCUGAACCAGAACAGCCUCCAGGACAUCCCUGUUUGGUUUGUUUAUUAGUACAGAUCCCAACAUCAAUCUAAAAUCACAGAGUAAUGUAGGUUGGAAGGAACCUUUGGAGCUCAUCUAAUCCUACAUCCCACUCAGCACUGACUAAAUCCACUUGGGACUGCGUCCAGCUGUGCCAUGAACACCUCCAAGGUGGUCCUGCACCAUGUGGAAAUAAGGCAGCAAAGGUGGACAAAGCCUUUCCCUUCUCUGGGACAUCUCAGGAUUGAGCAGGACCCCAAGGUGCUUAUAGUCCCCAUAGAAGGGGAAAUAUCCCCUUGAAUUUAGACAGCCAGAAAGCUUGGGGCUGGACAGCCUGGCCCAGUGCUCCCUCCCAGGAAGGAGGGAGGGCUAUGGGAGAGCAAGAGGUGAGAGUUGCAUGUGUUGGAUGGGAGCCACCAACCUUCAGCCAAAGGACACUUUCUGCUCUACCAAUCUGUUCCCUUUUCGUCCUCAUUAAUGCUCCUUCCAUGCUCGACAGUUGUGAUUUGAAUAAUUUGGCCUGAUCAGUGUUUACAUAGCAACAUUUGGAAGAAAUGAAACCACACUACAGCCAACAGCCAACUCCAGGCUCCGAAAUGCUGGUUUGCUGUGUUUCCUACUGAAGGAAGCUUGUGCAGCCAUGUGAAACCUAUACCACUUGCUGGUCUGCAAGCAUCGUCUCGGAUGCAGCCAGUGCUGAACAAGCACUGACAGCCAAGCAAUGAAAACAUCUGAAAACAUCAUUAAACAGCAAAGCAGGACCAGCAGAGUUUGUAUUUAUUUCCUCUCCAAUGAUGUCCUCUCUUCUUAAUGAGAACUGCACUGAUAUGGAGGACAGACGGGCUGUCCUACCCUCUCUCUUAUUUCUACAAAGAGAUGUUGCAAGGAAAGGCAAACAGCUGAACAUUUGGGAUGCAGAGGAAGGGGA
ensembl:lncRNA